CACGUAGGGCGCAAGCGUUGUCCGGAAUUAUUGGGCGUAAAGAGCUCGUAGGCGGUCUGUUGCGUCCGCUGUGAAAACUCGGGGCUUAACCCCGAGCCUGCAGUGGAUACGGGCAGACUAGAGGUAGGUAGGGGAGAAUGGAAUUCCCGGUGUAGCGGUGAAAUGCGCAGAUAUCGGGAGGAACACCCGUGGCGAAGGCGGUUCUCUGGGACGGUACUGACGCUGAGACGCGAAAGCGUGGGGAGCGAACAGG
rnacentral:rRNA from 1 species